rnacentral:rRNA from 1 species
UACGUAGGGGGCAAGCGUUGUCCGGAUUUAUUGGGCGUAAAGAGCGUGUAGGCGGCUUUACAGGUCCGUUGUGAAAACUCGAGGCUCAACCUCGAGACGCCGGUGGAAACCGUAAAGCUAGAGUCCGGAAGAGGAGAGUGGAAUUCCUGGUGUAGCGGUGAAAUGCGCAGAUAUCAGGGAAGAACACCCGUGGCGAAGGCGGCUCACUGGCCCGGUACUGACGCUGAGGUGCGAAAGCGUGGGGAGCAAACAGG